rnacentral:lncRNA from 1 species
CUCAAUGUAAAAAAAAAUGGUAAAAACUCUCAUAGUCAUAUUAAAGUAUGUCUGUCUUAGAGGCUCAUCGCUACCAUAGGCGGAUCCAGCCCCCUCCUUUUUCGUGUGAAAAAAAUUGGUUUAUUAUACAGGUAAACACUAAAAGAUGACUUUAGCGGGUCCCUCUGUUAUGGCAGUCAGUGCCCCCCCCCCCAAAUCCCAUUUAUAGAAAGUUCUUGAAUCACCAUUGGCUACCAC